GGCCCAUAGACAUCUAUAGGUUCUGUAUUUCGGCUCCUUACAACUCAGGGAUGUAUGGUGCCAUAAUACGGACCUGUACUCGAGACCUUGGAGUGUCUGUGUUGUGGACUUUCACAGCCCAAACUAAUUAUAGAAAUCUAUUUUCUACAUUCACAUAUGGCCCAAACUAGAGAUCCAAUCACCACACAGGCAACUAGAGCCAAGUGCACUGCCUAACACAGGCCUCAGAAUAAAGGCACACCUUUUGGAUUUUGAGGCCUACUUGGGGCCGUUCAAGCACAAUCUAAGGUUUGUAGAGGCCUUCAGGUUGCAAAACACAGAAAGAAAAAAAAGAAAAACUCAAGGAAUUUUU